GUGGGGAAUAUUGCACAAUGGGGGGAACCCUGAUGCAGCAACGCCGCGUGAGUGAUGAAGGUUUUCGGAUCGUAAAGCUCUGUCUUUGGGGAAGAUAAUGACGGUACCCAAGGAGGAAGCCACGGCUAACUACGUGCCAGCAGCCGCGGUAAUACGUAGGUGGCGAGCGUUAUCCGGAUUUACUGGGCGUAAAGGGAGCGUAGGCGGAUGAUUAAGUGGGAUGUGAAAUACCCAGGCUCAACUUGGGUGCUGCAUUCCAAACUGGUUAUCUAGAGUGCAGGAGAGGAGAGUGGAAUUCCUAGUGUAGCGGUGAAAUGCGUAGAGAUUAGGAAGAACACCAGUGGCGAAGGCGACUCUCUGGACUGUAACUGACGCUGAGGCUCGAAAGCGUGGGGAGCAAACAGGAUUAGAAACCCCAGUAGUCC
rnacentral:rRNA from 1 species